GUGUUUAAGGUGCCGCUUGGCACAUACAAUAACAACUCUCGAAGCUAACAAUAAUUUCUAAAACCCGGAAUCUCACGAAUCACAAGCUAAGAGAUACAUAAGAAGCUCUGGAAAUGUCUAAAGAAAGGAAAAAUACUGUUAUUACAGAAAGAUAAAAAGGGACUCCUCGGUCUGCGGACGCGACAGAUAUACCUCAAAGUCUCUACAGAAACGCCUCCUCCCAAGGAUGAUAGAACUGAGUGGAAGUACCUGGAUCUGCACAAUAAAAAUGUACAGAAGAGCAACAUGAGCACACCACAGCGGUCCCCAGUAAGUAUCAAGACUAAUCUCAGUGGAGUAGUGAUGAGGAACAGUCAAGACACCUAUCGGUUCAAUAAACUGUACAAAUAUAGGAACAACGGGACAUGAUUUAUAUAUAAAGACUAGACGAAAUGGCUAACAAUACUACGAUCUCAAUAAGGGAAGAAAACCGCAAGCAACACAAAAUACCAAAAUAAUGACACAGAAGAGCGAUCAAAAACACAAACCAAAUCCUAGAGUCACAAUACAUUAAAGGUAAGCAAUAACUCAGAUCCUAUGACAGUGUUCACAUCAGGUCUUAUCCAACAAUUUCUACGAAAUACCGAACCUCGAACAAUUACAACUCACGAGUCCCAGUACCAGAAAUCUAACACUUGGCAUCUUGUGCCCCCAUCAGCCUCAUGGUCAUACUGACAACUCACUUGCUAACCAGAGCCACUCUCACAUAUAUAAUAAGUAAACGAGGGUGUACAUCUAUACUUAGCAAAAUCAGGAGGACUUCACAUCCAAUAGGAGUGUAAAACUACGUGUAUGCUUGUGCAAGUGCUCUAAUAAAAUUCCUACUAGCUAAUAGACAUAAGGAGAAGAGCAGAUAACACAUACGAUGUUUCCUCACAACUUCAACGAGAUAAAGCUCAUACACGUAAGCAUACCACAAUCACAAUAUUAAACAAACAGGAACGCCCCCAGGCCAUCACAAAUCCUCACAAUCAAUCCCUGACAUAGCCCACCUUGUCUCGCCACGUGUGCAAAUAACAACAUAAUAAGUGUCCGCCUUGUUUCACCACACGUGCAUCAUAAUGUUCCCACCUUAUCUCGCCACAUGCGCAACCCACAUAUAAGCAUAUAAACAUAUCCCGCCUUGUCACGCCGCAUGUGCAAUAUAUCAAUAGUAACAAUAGCAUGGCAAAGACCUCGUGCAACCCCUCAACAACAAACGCACGGCAGAGACCUCAUGCACAACACAACCACAACCGCACGGCAGAACCUCGUGCAACCCCUCAACAACAACCGCACGGCAAAGACCUCAUGCACCAACACAACCACAACCAUAAGGCAGAGAUCUCGUGCACCAACACAACCCGCACAACAAUAACAGUGACAGUAAUACAAAAUAUAGCGAGUGAAUCCACUCCAAAACUUCAAAUCACAAGGAAUCGGUAUAACCAGUUCACAAGAAUAGCCACAGUAAGAAAAAUGAAAGGCAUAAAGGGGACAGUUCAACGAAAGGGGAAAUUAACAUGUAGUGACAAUGCCAAAUAAACAAAAUCAAUACAAGGAAGACAACACGAGUCUAGUAUCCCAAAUAAAGGCAAGUCAACAAAGAUAUAGAUCGUCUAAACUCCGUUUAAGGUGGGGAAAUUACAAGAACAUUCGGUAAUUUCAGUUAAGGGAAAGUGAUCUUAGGUGCACUUAAGAUAGGCGAUUAUAGGAGGGAUGACAAUAACUCUCAGUAACGCAGACAGUUAUGAAAAGGUAGCAUGAUGAUAAGAGAAACGGAGUUCUUCAGUUAAAUCAAAUAAGAUGACAAUUAGGCAAUAAGAGUAAAUCAUGCAGCAAACAAUUCCAACUAAGCAUGUAGAGACGAAACUAAUAAGCAGGAACUCAGUCAUAUCAAGAAUAACUCCAUACCUAGUGAAUAUAAGAACCCUAAAAGGCCAAUUAUCCACAAUUAAGUCCAGGUACGCACUCGUCACCUCGCGUAUACGGAUUUCAAUCAACAUAGAAGACUCAAUCCUAAGGGGAAGUCUCCCACACAAGGCUAGGCAUGAUACUUACCUCAAAGACGACAACUCGGUACUCUAAGAUGAGCUUCUCGGGCGAAAAGACCUCCGGGCAGCUCAAAUCCAACUAUAUCAACUCCAAAACACACAUAAAUCGAAUAAGGAAUUAUUCCGAAUAAUAAAGUUUCAAUCUUUACAAAAAUAUAAAAAUCGAUCCAAAAGUCGACCCUACGGCCUGCACCUCAGAACCCAUCAAAUUUUACAAAAUCCGAUCACCCAUUCCAAAAUGAGUUCUACCAUACAAAAUUUAUCCAAUUCCGAUACCAUUUGGUCCGUCAAAUCAUGAUUUUUCGCUUUGAAAUUUUUCUUCAAAAACCAAUUUUCCCCAACCUAAAAUACAAUUUAAAUGAUAAAAUAAAGACAAAUUCAUGGAAUAUAUUUAAUUCUAGUUGAAGAACACUUACCCAAUCGAAUUUCGUGAAAAAUCCAACAAAAAUCGCCAAGAACCAAGCUAUAGAAGUCAAAAUGUGAUGAAAAUGGUGAAACCCUCGAUUUUGGGAUAUAUUCUGUCUGCCCAGGUUUUUAUGCAUCGCGAACGCGAAGAGAGGGCCGCAUUCGCGAAGAAGAAAAGUUAAGGCUGCCCAGGUUGCUCUUCGCAAAUGCGAUGAUGAUCUGGCAAACGCGGAGGAGAAAAAUGCAAGGCUUCGCGAACGCAAAGGGAAGGACGCGAACGCGCGGGGCUUCGCGAACGCGAAGAGAAGGAUGCAAACGCGAAGAAGAAUUUCGAGGUGGUCAGCAACAAGGCAUCGCGAACGUGAGAGGCUGUUCGCGAUCCCGAAGAAGGAUAUCAGAAGCAGCAAAAUAGCAUUUCCAAAAAUGGGGAAAAAUACCCGUAAUCCACCCGGAACACACCCAAGGCCCCCGGGACCCCGUAUAAACUCACAAACAAGUCACAUAACCUAACACGGACUCGCUCGAGGUCUCAAAUCACAUCAAACAACACUGAAAUGAUGAAUCACACCAUGAAUCGAACUAUGAACUUCCAAGUCUUCCAAAUUUGAAAACUUGUGCCGAAACCGAUCAAAUCAACCUGGAAUGACGCAAAAUAUUGCAGACAAGUCCAAAAUGAUAUGGCGAAGCUGCUCCAACUCUCGGAAUCACAUUUCAACCCUAAUAUCACAAAAAUCAACUAUGGGUCAAACUUCUCCAUUUUUCAAACAUUAAUUUUUCCAACUUUCGCCGAAAUGACUCUAUUUACCCUACGGACCUGCAAAUCUGAAUCUGGACGCACGCCUAAGUCCAAAAUCAUCAUACGAAGCUGUUGGAAUUAUCAAAAUUUCAUUCUAGGGUCGUUUACUCAAAAGUCCAAUUCCGGUCAAAUUCUCACCGUUCAAACUCCCAAAACUUCAUUCCUUCUUCCAAUUCUACUCUGAAUCAUCCAUUAAUCGAAUUCAACCAUGCACAUAAGUCGAUGCUCAUAUUACGAAGCUGUUCAAGACCUUACAUCGCUGAACGGAGAUUAAAUUCUCAAAACGACCGGCCGGGUCAUUACACCACACCUGCGGAAAAUCCAUUGCAGGUGCGGCUCCUACUUAUGCCCUCAGAAACCGCUUCUGCAAUCACAACACCGCACCUAUGGUCUCGUAGGUGCACUCCACUAUCCGCACCUACGUCUCUUGCCUCAGCUCUUCAAAAUCCUGCAUCUGCGAUUCACCUUCCGCAUCUGCGAUCAUCGCACCUACGGUUCCCACUCCGCAAGUGUAGAAAUAUCAGAAGCAUCAGCUUCAGCUACCUUAUUUCACUUUUCAACUCUCCGAUAGCCAUCCGAAUUCAUCCCGAGGCCCUCGGGACCUCAACCAAAAAUAUCAUCAAGACACAUAUCAUCAUUCUAACCUAUACCAACUUUCGGAAUACUCAAAACAACAUCGAAACACUAAAUCACUCUCGGAUUCAAUCCUAAGGAUUAUAAAACUUCUGAAUUCCGCAAACGAUGUAGAAACCUAUCAAACCUCACCCGAAUGACCUAAAAUUUUGCACACACAUCACAAAUGACACUACGAACCUACUCCAGUUUUUGGAAUUUCAUUCCGACCCCGGUAUCAAGAUUUCCAUUGCCGAUCAAAAACUCCAAAUUUCCAAUUUCGCUAAUUCAAGCCUAAAUCUAUCACGGACCUCCAAAUCACAUUCCGGACGCACUCCCAAGUCCAAAACCACCUAACAGAGCUAACCAAAUUAUAAAAAUCCAAAUCCGAGAUCGAAUACUAAAAAAUCAUAAUUUGGUUAAAACUUUCAAAUUUAAAGCUUCAAGCUGAGUAUUGUUCUUCCAAAUCUAUUCUGAUUAUCCUGAAAACCAAAACCGACGAUUUACAUAAGUCAUAAUACAUCAUACGGGGCUAAUCAUGCCCGUUACACCAAAACUCCCUCAAAAUUGAGAUAUAAACUCAAAAUAAUAUUCCUAAUUAUUUGCAACAACGCCUAAUCCAAAUAAAUAAUAAUUUUUGAAAAUCCAAAUUCGAAUUCAAAACUUCAAAGCUUUUUAAUGGCUGUCAAUGAUGAAAUUGUUGAUAUCUUUUUCUUUGCUUUAUAUUACUUAAACUAAGGAUUGAGCGAUAGAGAAAGACGUAGAGUGAAUUCUCAAUUGUUUGCGACAACACUCAAUUCAAACAAAUAAUGUUUUUUGAAAAUUCAAAUUCGAAUUCAAAGCUUCAAACUUUUUUAAUGGCUGUCAAUGAUAGAAUUGUUGCUUUCUUUUCUUUUGCUCUACAUUAUUGGAAUUAGGGAUUGAGAGAUAGAGAGAGAUGUAGAAAGAGAGAGCGCAGGAGAGAGAGAGAAUAAGGAUGAGAAAUAAUUGAUUACUAUUAUAAAGGGAUACUCAUUAAUUCCUAAAGUGUAUAUAAUUGGUAAAUUUGUAUGUAGAAAGUAAUUAAAUUGAAACUUGAGUGGGGAGGGUAAUAAAGUAUCCAAUAGUGUAUAGGUAUGUAAAAAUCCCAAAUUUUAUUAUAGUAAAUAUGCUUUAAUCAAUAAUUUAUUAGCCCAGCUAGCAUUUGAUAUCAAUUUCCCGUUUCUUAGCUGUCCUAUCUUUAAAUUGUAAACAAAAUUCAUACAACAAACUUAAUUAUUCUCACUUAUAUUUAUAGGUUACUAAUCAUUUCAUACUUCAAAAAAAAAAAAAUUGAAAACGACAAUGAUUAUAUACAUCCUACAAAACAUCGUCAAAUUCGAAGGAACAAAAAGUUCCGCAUGCAAAUUUUUAAAGACGUGAAAAAUAUUAAAUUAAUAGGGGGCGCAUCAAAUGAAACCAAAUCCAUAUCUAAGCAGGACCACAAACAGACACGCAAACAACAAAGAUUUAAGGCAAAAGAUUGGACCUUUAGUAAUAAAAUAUUUCUUCUAUUAACAAGCACCUCCAGUGAAAUUACAACGGCUGAAUCGACGUCAAAUGGACCCCAACAAUGAAAACCCGCCUGAACCUGAACAGAAAAUGCAGCGGCACCAGAACCUCGCCGUCAACUCGAACGGAACUAGAAACCAAUGAAUGGAGCUUUAAGUGAACUCGAUCUCAACAGAAACGCAGCUUUUUAUGAGGAACAGAGGGAUGUUUUAAAGUAUUUUGAUGGGGGUUUUGGGUUUUAAUCGGAGCUUUUGGCCGGUUUUCAUGGAUGCUUGGGGCUGGUUUCAAUGGGAGAUGGUGGUGAGAUGGGGUGGAAAUUUUGUGGUGUUAAAGCCGGAGAAGAGAGGCUGAAGGUUUCUGAGUUUUCUCCUGCAGAGACGGAACUCUAAUUGAGGAAGAAGGCUGCCCAUUUUUUUCGUUUUCCAGAUCCCUUUUCAAAUUCUUGCCCAAUUCCUUCUUUUUCCUUUUUUCUUGUUUUACUUCCUGACCUUCUUUUCCUUUUUCAUCUGUUACUUCCUCCUAAUCCAAGACUUCCUCUCGUUCUUUUCUUUCUUUUUAUAAGUAAAAUCCUCGGCAGUUUGUUGUUGUUCCCCUUAUUUGGAGUGGGGGACCGUGAUUUUGUGUAUGCAUUGUGUCGUCUGUUUGUG
rnacentral:lncRNA from 1 species